AUGGAGUAUGCCCAAAAUCCAAAUUGAAAUAGAGUAGGCG
rnacentral:ncRNA from 1 species